CCACAGGAUCUUUUAGGAUCCACCAUACGUUUCAGUUUUUCCGUGU
rfam:Lachnospiraceae bacterium 10-1 genomic scaffold acPFo-supercont1.4, whole genome shotgun sequence.